rnacentral:rRNA from 1 species
CCCGUAGAAGGGAAACCCGGGAACUGGGUAUAAUACCCGAUAGAUCUCGACUGCUGGAAUGCAUCGAGCUUGAAAGCUCCGGCGCCCAAGGAUGGAUCUGCGGCCUAUCAGGUAGUAGUGGGUGUAGCGUACCUACUAGCCUACGACGGGUACGGGUUGUGAGAGCAAGAGCCCGGAGAUGGAUUCUGAGACACGAAUCCAGGCCCUACGGGGUGCAGCAGGCGCGAAAACUUUACAAUGCUGGCAACAGCGAUAAGGGGACCUCGAGUGCCAGGUUACAAAUCUGGCUGUCGUGAUGCCUAAAAAGCAUUGCAUAGCAAGGGCCGGGCAAGACCGGUGCCAGCCGCCGCGGUAACACCGGCGGCUCGAGUGGUAACCGUUAUUAUUGGGUCUAAAGGGUCUGUAGCCGGCCGGAUAAGUCUCUUGGGAAAUCUGGCAGCUUAACUGUCAGGCUUUCAGGAGAUACUGUCUGGCUCGAGGCCGGGAGAGGUGAGAGGUACUUCAGGGGUAGGGGUGAAAUCUUGUAAUCCUUGAAGGACCACCAGUGGCGAAGGCGUCUCACCAGAACGGACCUGACGGCAAGGGACGAAAGCUAGGGGCACGAACCGGAUUAGAUACCCGGGUAGUCCUAGCCGUAAACGAUACUUGCUAGGUGUCGGCCACGGUGCGACCGUUGUCGGUGCCGUAGGGAAGCCGUGAAGCGAGCCACCUGGGAAGUACGGCCGCAAGGCUGAAACUUAAAGGAAUUGGCGGGGGAGCAC